rnacentral:rRNA from 1 species
AAAUUGAAGAGUUUGAUCAUGGCUCAGAUUGAACGCUGGCGGCAGGCCUAACACAUGCAAGUCGAACGGUAACAGGAAGCAGCUUGCUGCUUCGCUGACGAGUGGCGGACGGGUGAGUAAUGUCUGGGAAACUGCCUGAUGGAGGGGGAUAACUACUGGAAACGGUGGCUAAUACCGCAUAACGUCGCAAGACCAAAGAGGGGGACCUUCGGGCCUCUUGCCAUCAGAUGUGCCCAGAUGGGAUUAGCUAGUUGGUGAGGUAACGGCUCACCAAGGCGACGAUCCCUAGCUGGUCUGAGAGGAUGACCAGCCACACUGGAACUGAGACACGGUCCAGACUCCUACGGGAGGCAGCAGUGGGGAAUAUUGCACAAUGGGCGCAAGCCUGAUGCAGCCAUGCCGCGUGUAUGAAGAAGGCCUUCGGGUUGUAAAGUACUUUCAGCGGGGAGGAAGGUGUUGUGGUUAAUAACCACAGCAAUUGACGUUACCCGCAGAAGAAGCACCGGCUAACUCCGUGCCAGCAGCCGCGGUAAUACGGAGGGUGCAAGCGUUAAUCGGAAUUACUGGGCGUAAAGCGCACGCAGGCGGUCUGUCAAGUCGGAUGUGAAAUCCCCGGGCUCAACCUGGGAACUGCAUUCGAAACUGGCAGGCUUGAGUCUUGUAGAGGGGGGUAGAAUUCCAGGUGUAGCGGUGAAAUGCGUAGAGAUCUGGAGGAAUACCGGUGGCGAAGGCGGCCCCCUGGACAAAGACUGACGCUCAGGUGCGAAAGCGUGGGGAGCAAACAGGAUUAGAUACCCUGGUAGUCCACGCCGUAAACGAUGUCUACUUGGAGGUUGUGCCCUUGAGGCGUGGCUUCCGGAGCUAACGCGUUAAGUAGACCGCCUGGGGAGUACGGCCGCAAGGUUAAAACUCAAAUGAAUUGACGGGGGCCCGCACAAGCGGUGGAGCAUGUGGUUUAAUUCGAUGCAACGCGAAGAACCUUACCUGGUCUUGACAUCCACAGAACUUUCCAGAGAUGGAUUGGUGCCUUCGGGAACUGUGAGACAGGUGCUGCAUGGCUGUCGUCAGCUCGUGUUGUGAAAUGUUGGGUUAAGUCCCGCAACGAGCGCAACCCUUAUCCUUUGUUGCCAGCGGUUAGGCCGGGAACUCAAAGGAGACUGCCAGUGAUAAACUGGAGGAAGGUGGGGAUGACGUCAAGUCAUCAUGGCCCUUACGACCAGGGCUACACACGUGCUACAAUGGCGCAUACAAAGAGAAGCGACCUCGCGAGAGCAAGCGGACCUCAUAAAGUGCGUCGUAGUCCGGAUUGGAGUCUGCAACUCGACUCCAUGAAGUCGGAAUCGCUAGUAAUCGUGGAUCAGAAUGCCACGGUGAAUACGUUCCCGGGCCUUGUACACACCGCCCGUCACACCAUGGGAGUGGGUUGCAAAAGAAGUAGGUAGCUUAACCUUCGGGAGGGCGCUUACCACUUUGUGAUUCAUGACUGGGGUGAAGUCGUAACAAGGUAACCGUAGGGGAACCUGCGGUUGGAUCACCUCCUUACCUUAAAGAUGC